ACGAACGCUGGCGGCGUGCUUAACACAUGCAAGUCGAACGGAGUGCCCAUGACAGAGGUUUCGGCCAAUAGAUUGGGUUACUUAGUGGCGGACUGGUGAGUAACGCGUGAGGAACCUGCCUUUCAGAGGGGGACAACAGUUGGAAACGACUGCUAAUACCGCAUGACAUAUAUUAAGGGCAUCCUUGAUAUAUCAAAGAUUUUAUCGCUGAAAGAUGGCCUCGCGUCCGAUUAGAUAGUUGGCGGGGUAACGGCCCACCAAGUCGACGAUCAGUAGCCGGUCUGAGAGGAUGAACGGCCACACUGGAACUGAGACACGGUCCAGACUCCUACGGGAGGCAGCAGUGGGGAAUCUUCCGCAAUGGGCGCAAGCCUGACGGAGCAACGCCGCGUGAGUGAAGAAGGGUUUCGGCUCGUAAAGCUCUGUUGAAGGGGACGAACAACAGGUGUAGGAAAUGAUAUCUGUUUGACGGUACCUUUCGAGGAAGCCACGGCUAACUACGUG
rnacentral:rRNA from 1 species